AAUUGACCAUUUGCGUAAUAGACUAAAUUUUGAACUAAACAAGUCUAGACAAAAAUUUCAUCACAGCUUGAAGGAGCAUCACAAAAUUAGUAAUAUUGCAAAGUUUCGUUGCAAAAUGUUGUAAAAUGCGGAAAAUAUAGCCUUGCGAAAUUUGCAAUUUUCAGUCAUUUUAGAUUACAAACGGGAAAUUGACAGCCCCAAACCCUUCGAGGCUGUCAAUUUCCGGUUGGUAAUCUAAAAUGACUGAAAAUUGCAAAUUUCGCAAGGCUAUAUUUUCCGCAUUUUGCAACAUUUUGCAACGAAACUUUGGAAUAUUACUAAUUUUGUGAUGCUCUUUCAAGCUGUAAUGAAAUUUUUGUUGAGAUCAAAAUUUAGUCUAUUACGCAAAUGGUCAAUUAUUGAGCAAAAUUUCCUAAAUUCGUCGAUAGGAAAUACGCAUCUCUAGUUAAUAUUGAUGUCGGGACUCUACUGCAAAUCGCCCAGCAAAAAAACGCCAAAACCAUGAAAAAAAUAUUAAAAAAUAAAAUGAUUUCCGACCUACCGACCCUAAUUUUUUCACGAUAUGAAACCGGAACCACAG